GAACUGCGAUAAGUAAUGUGAAUUGCAGAAUUCAGUGAAUCAUCGAGUCCUUGAACGCACAUUGCGCCCCCUGGCAUUCCGGGGGGCAUGCCUGUCCGAGCGUCAUUGCUGCCCUUCAAGCCCGGCUUGUGUGUUGGGUCGUCGUCCCCUCCGGGGGACGGGCCCGAAAGGCAGCGGCGGCACCGCGUCCGGUCCUCGAGCGUAUGGGGCUUUGUCACCCGCUCGAUAAGGACCGGCCGGGCGCCAGCCGGCGUCUCCAACCUUUUUUUCUCAGGUUGACCUCGGAUCAGGUAGGGAUACCCGCUGAACUUAAGC
rnacentral:misc_RNA from 1 species